UACAGAGGGGGCAAGCGUUGUUCGGAAUUACUGGGCGUAAAGGGCGCGUAGGUGGCUUUUCAAGUGACGGGUGAAAUCCCUCGGCUUAACCGAGGAACUGCCUGUCAGACUGGAAGGCUUGAGACCGGGAGAGGUGAGUGGAAUUCCCAGUGUAGCGGUGAAAUGCGUAGAUAUUGGGAGGAACACCAGUGGCGAAGGCGGCUCACUGGACCGGAACUGACGCUGAGGCGCGAAAGCGUGGGGAGCAAACAGG
rnacentral:rRNA from 1 species